GCGCCCUGUUCCCGCCUCUCCAGCUAAGACCGCUGGUGUGAGCCCGGGCUCGGCGAGAGCGAGGGACGACGGAAGGGACGGGAAGGUGUGGGCGCGGGGCCACGCAGCCCGACGGCGGGAGUCGCAGGUGCGGGGUGCAUGGGCCAGUGAGGACGCACAGAGAUCCCUCGCCGCGGGGAGGAGGAGCCGCGCGGGAGCCAGGCGCUGCCCCAAGACCCUGCGUCCGAGCGAGCGGAACCUCGCGCUUCGCCCGGGGACAGUCCGAAGUCCGCGCUAUGGAAGAGGAGAAAUAUUUGCCUGAGCUGAUGGCAGAGAAAGAUAGCCUGGAUCCAUCUUUUGUGCAUGCAUCGCGCCUUUUGGCAGAAGAAAUUGAAAAGUUUCAAGGUUCUGAUGGAAAAAAGGAAGAUGAAGAAAAGAAGUAUCUUGAUGUCAUCAGCAACAAAAACAUAAAGCUCUCGGAAAGAGUACUGAUUCCUGUCAAGCAAUAUCCAAAGUUCAAUUUUGUGGGGAAAUUGCUUGGACCAAGAGGAAACUCCUUGAAGAGGCUACAGGAAGAAACAGGUGCUAAAAUGUCUAUCCUGGGAAAAGGAUCAAUGAGAGAUAAAGCUAAGGAAGAAGAACUAAGGAAGAGUGGGGAAGCCAAAUAUGCCCACUUGAGUGAUGAGCUUCAUGUAUUAAUUGAAGUGUUUGCUCCACCUGGGGAAGCUUAUUCACGUAUGAGUCAUGCAUUGGAAGAGAUUAAAAAAUUCCUGGUUCCUGACUACAAUGAUGAAAUUCGUCAGGAACAACUACGUGAAUUAUCUUACUUAAAUGGCUCAGAGGACUCUGGUCGUGGCAGAAGUAUUAGAGGCAGAGGGAUCAGAAUAGCUCCCACAGCUCCUUCCAGGGGCCGUGGGGGUGCCAUUCCUCCUCCCCCACCACCUGGACGAGGUGUUCUCACCCCUCGGGGAAGCACUGUAACCCGUGGAGCCCUUCCAGUGCCACCUGUAGCAAGAGGUGUCCCUACUCCUCGAGCCCGGGGGGCACCAACAGUGCCGGGAUACAGGGCACCUCCUCCUCCAGCCCAUGAAGCUUAUGAAGAAUAUGGUUAUGAUGAUGGCUACGGGGGUGAAUAUGAUGACCAGACCUAUGAGGCUUAUGAUAACAGCUAUGCGACCCAAACGCAAAGUGUGCCUGAAUACUAUGACUACGGUCAUGGAGUAAGUGAGGAUGCCUAUGACAGCUACGGUAGAAAAAUGAAGAAUGUAGGGGGAGUAAGACAAUCAGCACCAGAAGAAUGGGCCACAAUCCGCUCUAGCUUGAAGGCACCACCGCCGAGGUUAGCCAGAGGGGGAUACAGGGAACACCCCUAUGGUAGAUAUUGAAGGUCCUUCCCACCUGUGACCUCACCUCAAAGACAAUUCAUAGCCUGUGGUCUCCACAUAAACAGCAACAACACAAGUACCCACAAGCAAAGAACACAUAAUUGAAUAACCGAUGUGAUUUGCUAAGAAGGAUGGAGGUGAAGAUGUAUGAUAGAAAAACGAAAAGCUGGAAUAAACCCAAGACUGGCUGUCUGGAGGUUUAAUGUUUUUAACAAUGGAGGCCAAAAAAGAAGAUAAUUUGGAUUUGAACCAAUCACCAGUCAAGCCAGGGUUCUUUUGCUUUUUGGUUGUUGUUGUGGAAACGAUAUCAGAUGUUCAUAUUUUCCCAGUGGAAUUUUACAAUACUUUUGGAAACAGUUUCAUAGGGUGAAAAUAAUAUGAAGAAAGAAUGAAAACAAAACACAGAUGGGAAAAAAGUACGAUUUUCUUCAUCUCAACUCGCCUCACCACUGCAGAUCCAAGCCUGACACAGAGCCUAACAGAACAUUGUGGACACAAGUCAUUCUAGCCACAUCUGAUCUGUCUGACCAGGCCACUGGGAGUGAUCGUUGAUGAACAAAGGAACUGCAUUUGAAAGCCUUUUUAAAUCCUUCUAUAUAAUUUUAAGUUUAUAUUGAACUAAAUAAAAAACAAAAACAAUUUUAGUCCCAACUCUGACUUAGACUUAAAGCACAGCUCAGUGUGAAAUCUAAAAAUGUGGUUAAUAAAUGACAUCUCUGUCAUUGUCCCAGUUUAUCAACAUAAUGUUCACCACUUAGAAUUUUUAAAGUAAUAUUAAUUACAGGAUUAAUUACAAUGGCAUGCUAUUUUGGCACUUUAUAAAACUUAAAUGAUAUAAAUGAGUAUUAUGUAAGUCCUUUUUGAGAGGACUUCUGGAAGAUUUAAACAUAAUCAGUGAACAUAUGGAUCUAUUUUCAACACUUGAGUAAUGUAAAGGUAUCUCAAUCUAUAUAUUAAUAUAUACUCUUUUAAUAACGAAUUGCCCUUGGGCUCCAGUGUUUGUUUACUCAUUCUUAUAUUUGGCAAACAUGUGUGGAUACAUCUAUUAUGUGUUAAGUGCAGUACAAGGGACUGGGCACAUGAGGAUGUGCAAGACAGAGUUCCCCAUUUUUAAGGAGAUGGUGUUCUCAUAAAGGAGAAAAAAUUAAAAUGGCACAUGCAGAAAAAUAGAAAAAGUGCUACUGUAGAUAUGAGCACUUAGGAGAAUACCUAAGCCAGAUUGCAGAUUUUGUAUUUUAAUGUUGUUUUUUCUUUUUCCAGUAAAUUUAAAAUUCUGACAAUAAUCUUAGAAAUUACCUAUAAAAAUGGCAGUGUGAACAUGUGGCAUCUGUAAAUUGUUCAAUAUCCUCACAGUGUGUAAAGGGCCUGUAGGGAUCUAUAGCAACAAUUAUUUUUAAAAUAAGUUCAUCAAAUACUUCCCAUAUUUUGACAUUCUUAUGAGAUCUUUUGAAGCCCUCCACAUUUCAUAUUUGGAUAGUAUCUUUCUGAGUCAAAAUUAUUGUAUUUUCCCCCCCUGUUUCUCUAUUUUUCUCUAAACAAGUAAGUUUGGAAACGGUUCUUUUCUUUGGCUGGUAAAUACAAUUUAUCUGCUUUUGGAAGAAAAAUAAGAAACACUAAAAUACCUGUGGUGAAUUUUCUGCUUCUGUAAAUGGGUCACACUUUGUCAAAUUCUGAAUAUAUUAAGCCUUUGUGGAGUUCUGUUAUUCUCAAAUACUAGGUUGCUGCACUGGAUAUCAAAGGGUAAUUUAUUUUGUUGUAAGUAGGCUUUUACUCAGUUCUUUUUUUAAC